rnacentral:rRNA from 1 species
AACAAACGCUGGCGGCGUGCCUAACACAUGCAAGUCGUACGAGAAAGGGUCCCUCGGGAUCUGAGUAAAGUGGCGCACGGGUGAGUAACGCGUGGAUAAUCUGCCCCUCAGUUGGGAAUAACUCAUCGAAAGGUGGGCUAAUUCCGAAUAAUACUGUGAGACUUUGGUCGAUCAGUCAAAGAGAGCCUCUGCUUGCAAGCCCUCGCUGAAGGAUGAGUCCGCGUACCAUUAGCUAGUUGGUAGGGUAAUGGCCUACCAAGGCGACGAUGGUUAGCGGGUCUGAGAGGAUGAUCAGCCACACUGGAACUGAGACACGGUCCAGACUCCUACGGGAGGCAGCAGUGAGGAAUCUUGCGCAAUGGGGGCAACCCUGACGCAGCAACGCCGCGUGAGUGAGGAAGGUCUUCGGAUCGUAAAGCUCUGUCAGUUGGGAAGAACUACCCAAGGGUGAAUAUCCCUUGGGCUUGACGGUACCAACAGAGGAAGCACCGGCUAACUCCGUGCCAGCCGCCGCCGUAAUAC